UGUCCUCCAUAGGAGGUCUAUAUUGAGCAGAUCCUUUUUGGUAUUGGGUGGUGGAACUGGAGCGUGCUCCAUCCACUCCAUGCAUUGACCUGGUAUUGCAGUGCUUCCAGGACCGGUGC
ensembl:snRNA U2 U2 spliceosomal RNA